GAUACGCGUCGCCCAGAGCCAGCGCCGGUGCUCCGGCAUGAUUACACAGGCCCCAGCUAUUGCUCCGCCCAUGCCCCUUGAUUAAUGUUCUUGUUCGGAGCACACCGCAAAUAUGCUGACUCCCGUCCAGCGCGCUUGUUGUUGAAUAAAGCACAUGGGGGUAAAUGCAGAGUUGAACUUUGAUAUGCAAUCUGAGAAAAUACAAGUCUGACUUAACGACAACGCGGCCUAUUUUCAGAAGCCAGAUGUGUGAUGGAACAGCAGACGGCUGGGGGAGGGCUGAUUGAGGUGCAAGUUUGCAAGAGACACACACACACGUGAACGCACAGAGCCUGGAGGACAGCAUAAGUAUCGUGGUCAAUUUGCUGCCCGAGUCAUGAGCCGGAAUGGAAACUCUAAUGAAAUCUAUUCAUCACGCAACGGCACUGGAAGCUGGAGAUGGGAAAGGAAAGAGAAAGAUGGAAAUAAAAAGAGAGAAGAAAAGCCAUUGUGCAGAAAUGUUUUCCUGGCUGCUUAAACAGGAAAAAAAGUGAUCUGGGAGAUGCUGAGGCGGUGUGGAAGCUCUGACCUGACCCACAUCUAUUUUACAAAUAAAUAGAUAUGUGUCCACAGUGCCUCUUAUUUAAAUAAUGAUU